CCUACGGGAGGCAGCAGUAGGGAAUAUUGCUCAAUGGGGGAAACCCUGAAGCAGCAACGCCGCGUGGAGGAUGAAGGUUUUCGGAUUGUAAACUCCUUUUGUUAGAGAAGAUAAUGACGGUAUCUAACGAAUAAGCACCGGCUAACUCCGUGCCAGCAGCCGCGGUAAUACGGCGGGUGCAAGCGUUACUCGGAAUCACUGGGCGGAAAGAGCGCGUAGGCGGGAUAGCAAGUCAGAUGUGAAAUCCUAUGGAUUAACCAUAGAACUGCAUUUGAAACUGGUAUUCUAGAGUAUGGGAGAGGGAGGUGGAAUUGUUGGUGGAGGGGUAAAAUCCGUAGAGAUCAAGAGGAAUACUCAGUGCGAAGGCGACCUGCUAGAACAUUACUGACGCUGAUGCGCGAAAGCGUGGGGAGCAAACAGGAUUAGAUACCCGGGUAGUC
rnacentral:rRNA from 1 species